CGCCCUUUUAUGAUUGGAAAAGAGUGUAAAGCAACAUGGCUAAGCCCAUGCAGGCAAACCCAUGUAGGCAAGAAAUAGAAGACAUCACCAACAAAAAGACAACAUGUACAGAAAGCAGCAUAACCUCGAGGUUUGAAGAGGACAGCUGACAGGAUUCCAGACAACCCAAACGACAAGAAACAGUCAGCCAGGCAGCAACAUGAAGAGGACAACAGGCCGCCCAUCAGUAAAAAUAGGAUAGCAAAACGACCAGCCAGUCAAGCAUGCAUCCCUGGGACACCACCACUUGAAACACACAGGCACACAGACAAAGGAAACAGAACAUUUUGAAGAGCGUCACAAGAAAAGAUAUAACCUCCACGUAACCACGAUGCAGUGCAACUGUUGAGUCGUCGAAACUUCAGUGCACGAAAACUCUGAAGAGAAAACAAUACACGCAGACAAACGGAGUCUUUUUCUCGGAAGGGAACAUUCAUAUACACACAGGAACACAAAUACAGCUACAGGCACUACAGGCAAAAAAGGAACUACAUUGCACAGCAUUUCUAAAAAGCAUCAGAAGACGAAGCUAAGAAGGCCAGGAUACAGAUUGAUGAUCCUGCAUGAAUACUCAAGAGGGUAAACACGAGACACACAGACAUUGCCAAAGAGCGAUUUUCAUCAUUUACUAUACAUAAAAAACAACAACAAUGAUCUCAGCCAAACAGACAUUCAAUCCCGGGGACACACGAACACAUGGAAACAAGUCACCUACAUCAUCGUCAUCAUCAAUCAUUCCAUAGCUUGGCACGACUAAAUAUGACUCACGACAGCCAAUGGCAAUUGCCCAGUAUCACCUUUCUUGGGAUCGAUUUUUGUGCUACUGUAUUUAAGAACAAUCCAUCAGAUACCUCAGUGAUCUACACACACAUCCACACAGUCAACUGCAGCAAACCAACAACCAUAUAUUGCAUGCAAACGUCCAUCACAUGGAAUCUAUCUUCAAUCAGCAAACGACCAAUGGUCACCGAUGUUCAACACACAUCCAGAAGAAAACAACACACAAAAAUACCAUUUCCAGUGGUAAUCACUAACUACAUGUUGCAGGAACACAACUUCUGCCAAUUGUAACAGGUCUGUAUCUAUAAUUACCAAGUAAUUCACCAUGUUCAUCACUACAUUUGAUUUGCACAGUUACAUACCAAUUAACAAUGUUCUUGGCAACAAAAGCACUCAUCCAAACAGCAUCUACGUACGUAUACUGCACCAACAUGCACGUACAGCGGAUACGCACCACUUCAGAUACGGAUAUACCAUUUAGUGUCCACACAUUUGUACAGACUUGUUCAUCAUACAGGUAAGUCCCUCACCUACAUUUCAUCUGUCACUGCACAUGUAAUACCAUAAAUAUCAACGAUUGCACCUUCACCAAGUCACUCAUGAUCAUGUAACAUGUAAACAUAAUGCACACUCCUUGAUACUGGUUGUGUGUUAGUCACCUUAUUAUCUUCACAGCACUUGUGCCAUUAUUCUCAGUAACACUUUAACGCCAUGUCACUCAUGCAAUCAGCAUACAAAACAUAGCACACACUUCUUAAUGAAAGUAGAUGCUAUUACAAUAUCACAACAAUAUAAUUCAAUUGCAUUGCAGUUGUAGGCUACCUAUGGCAUAUAACUCAUUAUAACAAAUGGUCAUCCUGAUAUAUGUACAUGUAGCACACACACACAAACAGUGUUAUGAUAGCUCCUUCCAACACCGUCAAUUUAAUAGUAAUUCUUUACAAAAGAUAAACUGCUAGUAUUGUACGUUUUAAUUUUUAACAGUCAUUCACAACACAUUCAUCACAAAACAGACAUUUUCGUUCACUACACUUUCAGAUCACCACCACAACACUACAGCCACGACACCUCCAACCACCUACCAACAACCUACCACCAUCUUAUGUCCGCACUCUGGAAGGAAUACAAGACACGUAAACAAUACUAAAACAACGACAAAACAAACCAUCAACAGAGACUAAAAACAUCUCAACCAAUCAGGAACACAUGACACCUGGAACAACGACAUAAAAACACGACAAUAAACUAUUUACACCUCGUCCUCUUGUGUCUGAUGCAACAAAACAUAACUGCCAAUGAUCAUCACUUAGCAACAUCUGCAACUUUCAUCAUCAUCAACAUCUUCCCUUGAUCUGUUUAUGUGUUUGUAUGCACUCCAUUUCCAUGUUGACACACGGAUCAGGUCCACAACAUUGACACCUAACAAUCAUUGCAUCAUCUACAGUCAGCACACUUUCCAAUGGAAUACAAGACACGUAAACAAUACCAUCACCAGUAUACGACUAAGUACCAAGAACAGUGCAUUCACCGACUUUAUCAGUACACGCAUGCUGGAUACUUACCACAUCCGACAUGGAUAUACCACACUGACAUUUGUAGGAUUAACUGCAGAAUGGUAAGUACACAGACAUUACAGCCCAUCAUUUCACACGUACAAACAACGCUGCUUCAUCACCAAUGACACAUACAUGGAAGCAACCGAGGUCGCUGCUGACGGGUGCCGAAAGAGUUGCUCGCAACAAAAUAUCCAACAGCUCUUCUCUAAUUCGCCUCAUACAUUACAUUACAACAUUUGUCGUACAUACAGGCAUAACUCAUUAACGAUUCACAUUCCUUCAAAAUAACACUCAAUACUGUAACACACCAAGCAACAGUUCCUAUCGACGCACACAUAUAAAUAUAAUUCAUACAUAGAUCCUUACAACAUACAACUUACACAGUGUUACUCAAAUCACAAAUAAAGAUGCAUUCAUUGCAAUUCAAAUACAUGUUUGGUCAUUCAUUGCAAUAGCAUGCAGCAUACAUGUGUAAAAUGAGAUAUAUACAUACAUGUACAAUAACACAUACACACACAUACAUACAUGUACAUACAAUAACACACAUAUAC